rnacentral:lncRNA from 1 species
GUGCAUUUAUCUUAUUUAAAGUGAUUAUUAAAAACAAUCUAAUUAUAUACGUAAUAAAAUCACUAUUUAACUCACUGGUACUUAAAUAUCAACCAUAUCGUGACUCUUACUCAAAAUGUUUGACCCUAGACCAUGUAGACCGAUUGUGCUCGCAGAAGUUAUUUUGGGUUUAUUUCAGUAUAUUAAUUGUUUCUAAGUCAUGAUUGCAAUAGGGUGAAAGUCUUCCAUAACAUUUUACUUUAAUAUAAUAGCUAUGUUCCUUUCAAGAGUCCUGAUAAUAUUUGUUUUCUUGUUUGAAAAAGUUAUAUACAUGUUAUUGGUUAACAUCUUUUGGAUUUAAAAAAACAACAAAGAUUAUCUCUUA